UAAGUCUUCAACAAUACAAGCACUCGAAGCCUCUCCUGCUGGCAAGGACGGGUCCAGGUUCCGGGAUCUGACUUCCUCGUGUUUCGUCUCCACUUCGGCUAUGUUAAGAAGAACAACACUGACCCCCCAGAGGUAUUAGGCUUUCUGUUUGCACAGACUGACAAGCUAAGUGAAGCUCAAGACUAUGAGUACAGAUGGCUUGACCAUGUGAACAAAACAAUUAUGGAGGACAUAACUGUAGCACAAAACAACAUUUCCUGGGGGGCUGUGACAAGGUUGACUGCAG